rnacentral:rRNA from 1 species
CCUACGGGCGGCUGCAGUGGGGAAUAUUGCGCAAUGGGGGAAACCCUGACGCAGCAAUACCGCGUGAGUGAAGAAGGUUUUCGGAUCGUAAAACUCUUUUAUUGGGGAAGAAGAAGUGACGGUACCCAAUGAAGAAGUCCCGGCUAACUACGUGCCAGCAGCCGCGGUAAUACGUAGGGGACAAGCGUUGUCCGGAAUCACUGGGCGUAAAGGGCGCGUAGGCGGUUUUAUAAGUCAGAUGUGAAAGGUACCGGCUCAACCGGUGACGUGCAUUUGAAACUGUAAGACUUGAGUACUGGAGAGGCAAGUGGAAUUCCUAGUGUAGCGGUGAAAUGCGUAGAUAUUAGGAGGAACACCGGUGGCGAAGGCGGCUUGCUGGACAGAUACUGACGCUGAGGUGCGAAAGCGUGGGGAGCGAACAGGAUUAGAUACCCCAGUAGUC